rnacentral:piRNA from 1 species
UGAGGAAUGUUUGUAGAAUGGAAGCCC